AAUUGUAAUCAUGCGUCCCUGAUAGAUGACCAAAGCAGACUCGAAAGUUGGCUUCUCUUAAGUGUUUUCAGUUCAUUACAUAGUGCUCUCAUGAAUCUGCGUGGACUUUUACGGGUUUAAUCGUCUUGUACAUGUAAAUAUAUGAAUUCAUACUGAUUUUCUUUCUUUUUUUCUUGUGCAUCAAGCAGGUGACACCUUAAGGACUUAAAUUUAUUUGUCGUUGCCAGGUAGAAUAAGAAAUCAAUUCCAAAGAUAUCACUUUAGUAAAGAAAAUCUCGCAGUUGAAGGAUCCUCUUUCUGCAACACAAAUCAAGUCAUGCAAGCCAACAUUUUAAAUACUUCUAGUUGAAGAUUUAAAGACAUAUUAAAAUCUUCCUUCUAAUAGUUCAAGAUCUAAAUAUUAAAGAUGGUGCAGACUAUAUCAAAGGAUUUUACUAUACACUUGGAGAUAGACUGAAGCUUCCAAUUAAAGAAUUGAAGGCUAUAUCAAUUUGAAGACUAUUAUGGUGGCUUUUGAUUGGCUUUCAAUUGAAGAUUAGCUUGUAAAUUUCAACUUAAAGACAUGGCAAACUUGAAAGCCUCUACUUGAAGACUUGACAGAUUUGAAGACUUUAAGUUGAUGAUUCAACUUGAAAAUUUUGCAGAAUUGAAGACUUCAACUCUUGGCGAAUUCGAAGGCCUUAACUUGACUUGGUGAAUUUGAAGACUGCAACUUUAAGACCUAGCGGGCUUGAACACUUCAAAUUAAUGAUGUAACAGACUUGAAAAAAUUAACUUGACUUAGAAUUGGAGACUUCAAAUUGAA